GGACGAACGCGUGGCGGCGUGCCUAACACAUGCAAGUCGAGCGGGACUUACGACUGAUUGAAGACUUCGGUUGGAAAUGAAGAUGUAAAGUCGUAGCGGCGGACGGGUGAGUAACGCGUGAGCAACCUGUCCCUUACAGGGGGAUAACACAGCGAAAGUUGUACUAAUACCGCAUGAGACCACAGUAUCACAUGGUACAGGGGUCAAAGGAGCAAUCCGGUAAGGGGUGGGCUCGCGUCCGAUUAGAUAGUUGGUGAGGUAACGGCCCACCAAGUCGACGAUCGGUAGCCGACCUGAGAGGGUGAUCGGCCACAUUGGGACUGAGACACGGCCCAAACUCCUACGGGAGGCAGCAGUGGGGAAUAUUGGGCAAUGGGGGAAACCCUGACCCAGCAACGCCGCGUGAGGGAAGAAGGUUUUCGGAUCGUAAACCUCUGUCCUUGGUGAAGAGGAAGAGACGGUAGCCAAGGAGGAAGCCCCGGCUAACUACGUGCCAGCAGCUGC
rnacentral:rRNA from 1 species